AUUGAACGCUGGCGGCAUGCCUUACACAUGCAAGUCGAACGGCAGCACGGGUGCUUGCACCUGGUGGCGAGUGGCGAACGGGUGAGUAAUACAUCGGAACAUGUCCUGUAGUGGGGGAUAGCCCGGCGAAAGCCGGAUUAAUACCGCAUACGAUCUACGGAUGACAGCGGGGGACCUUGAGGCCUCGCGCUAUAGGGUUGGCCGCUGGCUGAUUAGCUAGUUGGUGGGGUAAAGGCCUACCAAGGCGACGAUCAGUAGCUGGUCUGAGAGGACGACCAGCCACACUGGGACUGAGACACGGCCCAGACGCCUACGGGAGGCAGCAGUGGGGAAUUUUGGACAAUGGGCGAAAGCCUGAUCCAGCAAUGCCGCGUGUGUGAAGAAGGCCUUCGGGUUGUAAAGCACUUUUGUCCGGAAAGAAAUCCUUGGCCCUAAUACGGUCGGGGGAUGACGGUACCGGAAGAAUAAGCACCGGCUAACUACGUG
rnacentral:rRNA from 1 species